rnacentral:snoRNA from 12 species
AUUUUAUUGUGAUGAUAUUUCCAUGCACCACUCAUAAGCUAGAAAUAGCUUGCUGAAUAUGGAAUUCUGAAAAAUG